UACGUAGGGUGCAAGCGUUAAUCGGAAUUACUGGGCGUAAAGCGUGCGCAGGCGGUUUUGUAAGACUGUCGUGAAAUCCCCGGGCUUAACCUGGGAAUGGCGAUGGUGACUGCAAGGCUAGAGUUUGGCAGAGGGGGGUAGAAUUCCACGUGUAGCAGUGAAAUGCGUAGAGAUGUGGAGGAAUACCGAUGGCGAAGGCAGCCUCCUGGGCCAACACUGACGCUCAUGCACGAAAGCGUGGGGAGCAAACAGG
rnacentral:rRNA from 1 species